UAAAGAGGAACUCAGUCUAAGAACAUCGCAUCUUGCGAUAAUGACUGAGUGACCAACAUCCGGAUGU
rnacentral:sRNA from 1 species